rnacentral:rRNA from 1 species
AGCCAUGCAUGUCUAAGUAUAAGCAAUUAUACAGCGAAACUGCGAAUGGCUCAUUAUAUAAGUUAUCGUUUAUUUGAUAGUACCUUACUACUUGGAUAACCGUGGUAAUUCUAGAGCUAAUACAUGCUAAAAAUCCCGACUUCGGAAGGGAUGUAUUUAUUAGAUUAAAAACCAAUGCCCUCUGGGCUCCUUGGUGAUUCAUAAUAACUUUUCGAAUCGCAUGGCCUUGCGCCGGCGAUGGUUCAUUCAAAUUUCUUCCCUAUCAACUUUCGAUGUUUGGGUAUUGGCCAAACAUGGUCGCAACGGGUAACGGAGGGUUAGGGCUCGACCCCGGAGAAGGAGCCUGAGAAACGGCUACUACAUCCAAGGAAGGCAGCAGGCGCGCAAAUUACCCAAUCCCGAUUCGGGGAGGUAGUGACAAUAAAUACUGAUACAGGGCUCUUUUGGGUCUUGUAAUUGGAAUGAGUACAAUUUAAAUCCCUUAACGAGGAACAAUUGGAGGGCAAGUCUGGUGCCAGCAGCCGCGGUAAUUCCAGCUCCAAUAGCGUAUAUUAAAGUUGUUGUGGUUAAAAAGCUCGUAGUUGAACCUUGGGCCUGGCUGGCCGGUCCGCCUCACCGCGUGUACUGGUCCGGCCGGGCCUUUCCCUCUGUGGAACCUCAUGCCCUUCACUGGGUGUGGCGGGGAAACAGGACUUUUACUUUGAAAAAAUUAGAGUGCUCCAGGCAGGCCUAUGCUCGAAUACAUUAGCAUGGAAUAAUGAAAUAGGACGUGUGGUUCUAUUUUGUUGGUUUCUAGGACCGCCGUAAUGAUUAAUAGGGACAGUCGGGGGCAUCAGUAUUCAAUUGUCAGAGGUGAAAUUCUUGGAUUUAUUGAAGACUAACUACUGCGAAAGCAUUUGCCAAGGAUGUUUUCAUUAAUCAGGAACGAAAGUUAGGGGAUCGAAGACGAUCAGAUACCGUCGUAGUCUUAACCAUAAACUAUGCCGACUAGGGAUCGGACGAUGUUAUUUUUUGACGCGUUCGGCACCUUACGAGAAAUCAAAGUGC